AGUUUCGAGGUAGUGACGAGAAUAACAAUACAGGGCAUUUUAUGCUCUGUAAUUGGAAUGAUGGGAAUGUAAAACCCUUCCAGAGUAACAAUUGGAGGGCAAGUCUGGUGCCAGCAGCCGCGGUAAUUCCAGCUCCAAUAGUGUAUAUUAGAGUUGUUGCAGUUAAAAAGCUCGUAGUUGGAUUUCUGUCGUGGUCAUCCGGUUCCGCCCGUACGGGUGUGCGCCUGGUUUGCCCUCGGCUUUCUUCCGGUAGCCUUCCGCGUU
rnacentral:rRNA from 1 species